AGAUAUUAGUAAAACAAUUACAUAACUUUGUCAAAGUUAACUUACAGGCUGAACCCCGUAUAUCUUA
rnacentral:tRNA from 1 species